ACUUCCGUUAAUUGAUUAUGACGUACUUGUACUGAUUGAGAUUUUAACACGAAGUGAGUGGCGAACGGGUGAGUAACACGUGGGUAACCUGCCCAGAAGUAGGGGAUAACACCUGGAAACAGAUGCUAAUACCGUAUAACAGAGAAAACCGCAUGGUUUUCUUUUAAAAGAUGGCUCUGCUAUCACUUCUGGAUGGACCCGCGGCGUAUUAGCUAGUUGGUGAGGUAAAGGCUCACCAAGGCAGUGAUACGUAGCCGACCUGAGAGGGUAAUCGGCCACAUUGGGACUGAGACACGGCCCAGACUCCUACGGGAGGCAGCAGUAGGGAAUCUUCCACAAUGGACGCAAGUCUGAUGGAGCAACGCCGCGUGAGUGAAGAAGGGUUUCGGCUCGUAAAGCUCUGUUGUUAAAGAAGAACGUGGGUAAGAGUAACUGUUUACCCAGUGACGGUAUUUAACCAGAAAGCCACGGCUAACUACGUGCCAGCAGCCGCGGUAAUACGUAGGUGGCAAGCGUUAUCCGGAUUUAUUGGGCGUAAAGCGAGCGCAGGCGGUCUUUUAAGUCUAAUGUGAAAGCCUUCGGCUCAACCGAAGAAGUGCAUUGGAAACUGGGAGACUUGAGUGCAGAAGAGGACAGUGGAACUCCAUGUGUAGCGGUGAAAUGCGUAGAUAUAUGGAAGAACACCAGUGGCGAAGGCGGCUGUCUGGUCUGCAACUGACGCUGAGGCUCGAAAGCAUGGGUAGCGAACAGGAUUAGAUACCCUGGUAGUCCAUGCCGUAAACGAUGAUUACUAAGUGUUGGAGGGUUUCCGCCCUUCAGUGCUGCAGCUAACGCAUUAAGUAAUCCGCCUGGGGAGUACGACCGCAAGGUUGAAACUCAAAAGAAUUGACGGGGGCCCGCACAAGCGGUGGAGCAUGUGGUUUAAUUCGAAGCUACGCGAAGAACCUUACCAGGUCUUGACAUCUUCUGACAGUCUAAGAGAUUAGAGGUUCCCUUCGGGGACAGAAUGACAGGUGGUGCAUGGUUGUCGUCAGCUCGUGUCGUGAGAUGUUGGGUUAAGUCCCGCAACGAGCGCAACCCUUAUUACUAGUUGCCAGCAUUAAGUUGGGCACUCUAGUGAGACUGCCGGUGACAAACCGGAGGAAGGUGGGGACGACGUCAAAUCAUCAUGCCCCUUAUGACCUGGGCUACACACGUGCUACAAUGGAUGGUACAACGAGUCGCGAAACCGCGAGGUUAAGCUAAUCUCUUAAAACCAUUCUCAGUUCGGACUGUAGGCUGCAACUCGCCUACACGAAGUCGGAAUCGCUAGUAAUCGCGGAUCAGCAUGCCGCGGUGAAUACGUUCCCGGGCCUUGUACACACCGCCCGUCACACCAUGAGAGUUUGUAACACCCAAAGCCGGUGGGGUA
rnacentral:rRNA from 1 species